AUGCAGCUCACAAUCAAGAGCAUCUUGAUGGUCCAGAAGAGGUGCACAGAUGCUGGCAUGAAGUAUUUGUGCACCUCAAAACUAAAUCAAGAGAAUCACUUCUCCUUGGUCCGGGGAAAAGGUGGGCACAAAUAUAACCCCAGUGCACGGGAGUUCACUGCUGCUCUCAGGGGACUGAGUGUGUCCAACAUUCUGCCUGCCCUCUCUUCAUUCACAUCCAAUUGUGAGGUGGAUGAUGGAGUCACACUUCUGACUACCUCAUCCGAUGGGGCGACUCCCUCAACCUCAGCAACCACAGGUCUGCUGAUGCCUCCGACCAUCGCAUUGGCCCUGCCUCUUUCACCCAAAGCAGAACCAAUGGAUGUUGACCUGGUGUCAGACAUUGUGGAAGACAAGACUGUUGGUGAUUGCAUCCUAGAGGAGGGCCUCUUUUAUGUUGCUGGCUGGGUAGUCAGAAUGCUUCAUCAGGAUGCAACAGUGAGGGCAUGUCCUCACUGUGAAAUCCUGCUGUUGGGUCCUAGACACCAGGACCACAGAUGUGCUGCAAAUGCCGAGCACCCUUUCCUGACGGCCAAAAAAUAUACACCGGCUGCCAACCUGAUGAGGCCGUCAGAGGAGUAUUUUGAGGCCAUCCAGCUGUUGGAAGGGGAGUUCGCAAGAUACAUCAACACCUUCUGGCCUCACUCCAACAUCACCAACAAUAUAUAUAUAUAUAUAUAUAUAUAUAUAUAUAUAUAUAUAUAUAUAUAUAUAUACAUAUAAUACAAUACUAGUAAUAGUAGUUCAUUAAAUUCUGGUGUUUGUUCCACAAGCUUUACACGUAUAAUACAUGUGUAAUAUCAUCCAUCAUGUGUGCGGUCUCUUCUUUUUCCACACUUUCACUCACUAAUCUUCAGUGGCUGAAUUCGCCAUCAUGUAUCGACUAACGUUAGAUACAUAGCUGAUAGCAGAAUGUCUAAUAAGGGCUGUUAGCCAGCUGAUGGCUAGCUGACAGCCCACGACCAUUAAUAGCUGAUAGCUAAUAAGCCCUGACAGCCAGCUGAUGGAUAACUGAUAGCCAGCUACGUCGCCAAACAUUCAACGACCAUUGUGUGUGUAUUUUCGGCGUGGUCUUUCAAAACAACAAAACAAAAAACUCUUCUAGCACAUGUAUUUACCUGUGUCAGCUGUGUUGUCGAUGCCUCGAGAGAUAAGAAAGUGCAGAGCACGAAAGCACCAGAGCCGUUAAAUAAUGAAUUUUUCAACGGCUCUGGAAUGCACCAUAGACAUUCUCUGAAAGCACCAAAGUGACUGAAGGAUUGCCGUAAAGCAGUAUCUCUGGUCGUAUGAUGUGUAUGACGUCAUUGACAUUUUAAAAUACUUUUUAAAGCAAAUAAGUGACUCUAAAAAAAUCUAACACCCAGCAAUGUGUAAUUUCUUUGCAUCUCCUUUCGAAUACAACAUUCAAAUUACUAGACAAAAAAUUAUAUCCUGAGAAAAGUGGAUUUUGAGGGGUAUACCGCCAUUGACCUCCAUUCAUUCUGCACUCGUCCUGUGAGCGCCCUCAUAUGGAAUCAGAGUGGAACUGCAAUCAG
ensembl:lncRNA